rnacentral:rRNA from 1 species
CCUGAAGAAUAAGCACCGGCUAACUACGUGCCAGCAGCCGCGGUAAUACGUAGGGUGCGAGCGUUAAUCGGAAUUACUGGGCGUAAAGCGCGCGUAGGCGGCUUUGUAUGUCGAUUGUGAAAGCCCCGGGCUCAACCUGGGAACUGCAGUCGAAACUGCAAAGCUUGAAUGUUGGAGAGGUUGGGGGAAUACCUAGUGGAGAAGUGAAAUUCGUAGAGAUUAGGUGGAACACCAGAGGCGAAGGCGCCUGACUGGCCAAACAUUGACGCUGAGGCGCGAAAGCGUGGGUAGCAAACAGGAUUAGAUACCCUGGUAGUCCACGCCGUAAACGAUGAGUGCUAGUUGUCGGCA